rnacentral:misc_RNA from 1 species
AAGUUGUUAACAUUGUAAGGCACCCAAUUAAUGACAUAAGCACUACAAGAAAUGCCCUCUGCCCAUAGAGCUUUAGGUAAAUUUUUUUACAUGCAACUAGCUUUUACAAGUCCCCACUAAAUGUCUAAUUUUCCUCUCUAUAACACCAUUUUAUUGUGGUGUAUUGGCACAUGUCAACUCCCUCCUAAUCCCAUGCUUAUUACAAAAAUCAAAA